GGGCCUGUGGCAUGACAGGGAAGCAACACAUUUGCAAUGUGUGAUAUGUGGGUUCGAAUCCCAUCAGGUCCACCA
rnacentral:tRNA from 2 species